ACGGAAGGCUGGAUGGCUGCUUGGACGGCGCUCCUUUCGGGGGGCUUGUUUGAGAGGAAAGUCCGGACUCCAUGAAGUAACGGUGCCGGGUAACGCCCGGCCAGGGUAACCUGAGGGAUAGCGCCACAGAGAAGAAACCGCCUUCGUUUCGGCGCGGGUAAGGGUGAAACGGUGCGGUAAGAGCGCACCGCGGGUCGGGUAACCGGACCGGCACGGCAAGCCCCACCGGGAGCAAUGCCAAAUAGGGAUGCCGCGCGGGUGUGAUCGAGCAAUCGAUAUCCACGCAGGGACACUUCAGCCUGAGGCAUCCGGGUUGGCAGCUAGAGGCGCGUAGGUAACUGCGGGCUAAGAUGAAUGGUCAUCUAUGUGCACGUCGAGAGCCGUGCAUUGGACAAAAUCCGGCUUAUAGGCCCUCCGUACGC
rnacentral:RNase_P_RNA from 3 species